rnacentral:rRNA from 1 species
AGGUAGCAUAAUCACUUGUUUCUUAAAUAGAGACUAGUAUCAACGGCAUCACGAAGACUAUACUGUCUCCCCCCUAAAAUCAAUGAAACUGAUCUCCUCGUGAAGAAGCGAGGAUAUACAUAUAAGACGAGAAGACCCCAUGGAGCUUUAAACGAACUUCAAUUGUUCCUACCCAUAACAUACAAAUUGAGCACCCCUGAUAGUUAGUUUUAGGUUGGGGUGACCGCGGAGUAAAACAAAACCUCCACAAUGAAUGUAAUAAAAUUCUUAUAAAAGAACCACAAUUCUAAUAAUCAAAAAUUUGACAUAAAUUGACCCAAACACUUGAUCAAUGAACCAAGUUACCCUGGGGAUAACAGCGCAAUCCAUUUUAAGAGCCCAUAUCGACAAAUGGGUUUACGACCUCGAUGUUG